rnacentral:rRNA from 1 species
AGAGACAGCAGUAGCCGCGGGAAUACGUAGGUGGCAAGCGUUGUCCGGAAUUAUUGGGCGUAAAGGGCUCGCAGGCGGUUUCUUAAGUCUGAUGUGAAAGCCCCCGGCUCAACCGGGGAGGGUCAUUGGAAACUGGGAAACUUGAGUGCAGAAGAGGAGAGUGGAAUUCCACGUGUAGCGGUGAAAUGCGUAGAGAUGUGGAGGAACACCAGUGGCGAAGGCGACUCUCUGGUCUGUAACUGACGCUGAGGAGCGAAAGCGUGGGGAGCGAGCAGGAUUAGAUACCCCCGUAGUCCCUGUCUCUUAUAC